GUGCCAGCAGCCGCGGUAAUACGUAGGGUCCAAGCGUUAUCCGGAAUCACUGGGCGUAAAGCGUGCGUAGGUGGCGUGUUAAGUGUGAUGUUAAAUCGUGUGGCUCAACCAUAUCGAUGUGUCGCAUACUGGCAUGCUAGAGGGAAGCAGAGGCAAGUGGAAUUUGUAGUGUAGCAGUGAAAUGCGUAGAUAUUACAAGGAACACCAAUGGCGAAGGCAGCUUGCUGGGCUUCUUCUGACACUGAGGUACGAAAGCGUGGGGAGCGAACAGGAUUAGAAACCCCCGUAGUCC
rnacentral:rRNA from 1 species